rnacentral:rRNA from 1 species
GGAGAACUGAAACAUCUAAGUACCCCGAGGAAAAGAAAUCAACCGAGAUUCCGAAAGUAGCGGCGAGCGAAAUUGGAUUAGCCCUUAAGCUUUACAUGUGUUAGACGAACGGUCUGGAAAGUCCGACGAUACAGGGUGAUAGUCCCGUAGUUGACGAUGCAUGUUCAGUGAAAUCGAGUAGGGCGGGACACGUGUUAUCCUGUCUGAAUAUGGGGGGACCAUCCUCCAAGGCUAAAUACUCCUGACUGACCGAUAGUGAACCAGUACCGUGAGGGAAAGGCGAAAAGAACCCCUGUGAGGGGAGUGAAAUAGAACCUGAAACCGUGUACGUACAAGCAGUAGGAGCACCUUCGUGGUGUGACUGCGUACCUUUUGUAUAAUGGGUCAGCGACUUAUAUUCAGUGGCAAGGUUAACCAUCUAGGGGAGCCGUAGGGAAACCGAGUCUUAACUGGGCGCCAUAGUCUCUGGAUAUAGACCCGAAACCGAGUGAUCUAGCCAUGGGCAGGUUGAAGGUUGAGUAACAUCAACUGGAGGACCGAACCGACUAAUGUUGAAAAAUUAGCGGAUGACUUGUGGCUAGGGGUGAAAGGCCAAUCAAACUCGGAGAUAGCUGGUUCUCCCCGAAAGCUAUUUAGGUAGCGCCUCGGACGAAUACUACUGGGGGUAGAGCACUGUUAAGGCUAGGGGGUCAUCCCGACUUACCAACCCUUUGCAAACUCCGAAUACCAGUAAGUACUAUCCGGGAGACACACGGCGGGUGCUAACGUCCGUCGUGGAGAGGGAAACAACCCAGACCGCCAGCUAAGGUCCCAAAUUACAGCUAAGUGGGAAACGAUGUGGGAAGGCUUAGACAGCUAGGAUGUUGGCUUAGAAGCAGCCAUCAUUUAAAGAAAGCGUAAUAGCUCACUAGUCGAGUCGGCCUGCGCGGAAGAUGUAACGGGGCUAAGUUGUAAACCGAAGCUGCGGCAAUGUUCUAUGAACAUUGGGUAGGGGAGCGUU